GGUGGACCUGUGCAUGUGGGUUCUCUGCAGAAUAAAUGAUCUUUGCUGUUGCAUACAAUUUGAAUCUGGAGUAUCAUUCUUAGCAAAUCACGAACCCUUACAAUGCAACCUUUCUUUCUCUAUUUCUUAUGGAGAAAACCCAGGCAGAAGAGCAUGUUGAGACCUGGGAUAAAAAGCAGUUUGAGUUUGGGUCCAAUAUCCUAAAUUACAGAAAACAAAUGCUCAACUGUAAGUUCUGAAAGUACUGAAGAAGGCCAGAAGAGGGCGUCUGUUCCUGUGGAACAUGAGUUACAAAUGAUUCGUGAACAGCCAUGGCAACUGGGAAUUGAAUCUCAGCCAUCUGCAAGAGCAGCAAGUGUCCUCCACAGCCUCCCAUGAAUUUACUUUAAUUCUUAUAUAGAGCCUCAAAGAAAGAAUUUGUAAAAGUACAAGAAUUAAUGAUUUUAUUCAUUACUUAUAUUUACGUAACUAUGAAUUCAUUUUAAAAGAUAAACACUGCUAAUUAGUACAGUAAAUUGAAUUUUUCUUUGUAAACAGACCUACUUAAGUUCAAAACUGCGCGUUGAUUCAGUGAAAACUGUGAAGUAGCUCUGGGAUCCUAGUGUGUGGAUGUGAUGAGGGCUAGAAAGGCCCUAUGCAGACAGUGUAGCUGGUCACACACAUCCUGUGUGUCACGCUCUUCAUGACUGGGCCUCUGUACAUAUAUUAGUUUUCCACUUGGUCACAUCUUUAAAUGUCUAGCUCAAAGGUUGCUUGCCUAUUGAACUGUGCAAGGCAGAAGAGUUUCAUCUUCUCAAACAGUUCAGUGCAUUGUGACUGCCCUAUUUACACGGACCAGAGGCUGCAUCUUACUCAUCUCUGCAUUUCCAAUACAUCACUGUGCUUGGCUUACAAUGAAUGCUCAAUGAACAUUGGCUGAAAGAAUAGGCCAAGUCACUGCUUCACUCAUCGUAACAGGAAAAUGUUUCCUAUUUCUGAUUAUUUAUAUUUAUUUAUUUAUUUUAUUUAUUUAUCACUAACUCUAUACCAUUGGCCGCUGCUUUUAUCUCAAUUGGCUGCAGCUUUUACCUCAUUAGUUGCAGAGUACGAUGCCCUACAAUAGUCCCAGAAGGAAAAGCAGGCCUGAUAUUGAGGAGAUCAAUUUAGGAACAGAGAGGCUAAUUAGCAUUUCCAGUCAGCUCAGGAAUGGCUCCAAAAGAGAGAGAGGCUAAUCAACAUCCCUCAGACAACCGAAGUGAAAACCCGACCUGCUGGUCAAGCAUGUUCCACAAGAUGACUGUCAGCCACCCACGUUCCACAAGAUGACUGUCAGCCACCCACAGGCAAGGGAAACCCCUGCCACCUCAUUCCUUAAAGACCAGUCAGUUUAAAAGUCACACUGUUCUGACAAUAAUAAUGUGCCUAGUCGUUGUUUCUCUAGUCUACCCCUUAAACAGUAUAAGAACCGACUAAAUGGGCAGUUUAUGGUCACCACUCCACCUUCCGUGUAGGACGAUCCCCAUGUGUUGGAGCAUUAAAAAUUCCUCUUGCUUUUUGCAGUGACUCUCGUCUCUACAUGGUUCACUCAGGGGGUCUCAGGUAAACUAAGGCCCUGGUUGCUAGAGUCUUACAAUAUCAGGGUCCAGAAAUAAAGAAAAACUCUUUGAGAUUCCCCCAACUGUGUUUCUGGGAGUAGAAACUCAGGGUGUAAGCAUAUUGGCAAAUGCUCAUGUUAGACAGGCCCUUUCCCACAGAACCACACCAGAACCUUCUUGGAGGCUUCGAGCCUAGUGUUACAUUUAUGACAAUUUUAAGAAGGAAAUACUUGUCAUUGAAAUGGGGAAUUCUGAGUGAGGUGACAAAAGUCUGGGAUUAAUGUCCUUCCAUAGAAAUCGACAUUCCCUACCUUCUAUUAGGGUAAUUCGUAGUUUGCAUACUUUAUACUAUGGAGUCUAAAGCUCACGAAAUCUGAGUUCACAGUGUAUGUCUACACACAUCAUUUAAUUUUAUCCCCACAAUAAUGGUUCGCAAUUGGCCUAAUGUGACAGAAAGGGGAAGUAAGCGCUAGAGGUUGGUCAAACGAUUGUCCUGUAUCACCAAGCUUGUAGUUAGUUAGACCCGAAGAAGUCAUAGAACUAGAUAGGGAAGCUGGGAAGUCAAGAGUGGCCCACUACUCUUUUAGAAAUGAGAUUUAAUUGAAGCAGAGGCUUGCUUUUAUGAGACAGCAUCUCCAUUUCACACAUGGAGAAGAACUGGAGACAGAGAACUGGCUAUGGACUUUGUUACACAGCCAAAGAGUGGUGCUGUGGGUAGGUGACUCGUGUUCUGCCUUUGGUGUCCAAAUGGAUCCUGGUUCUAGCUCUGUGAUUGUGAGGGGUUUGUUCUCCUAAUCUUCUGUGAGCUACCACUUGUCAAAUGCUUGACAAAGAGCAAAUGCUCUAGAAAACAUUGUAAUUUGUAUUCAAAUCUUUUGAUAUCCUAUUACUUUCCAAUGGCAAAAUAAAUAAAUAAAUAAAUAAAUAAAUAAUAACUUUAAUACUA